AUUGAACGCUGGCGGCAGGCCUAACACAUGCAAGUCGAGCGGAUGAAGGGAGCUUGCUCCUGGAUUCAGCGGCGGACGGGUGGGUAAUGCCUAGGAAUCUGCCUGGUAGUGGGGGAUAACGUCCGGAAACGGGCGCUAAUACCGCAUACGUCCUGAGGGAGAAAGUGGGGGAUCUUCGGACCUCACGCUAUCAGAUGAGCCUAGGUCGGAUUAGCUAGUUGGUGGGGUAAAGGCCUACCAAGGCGGCGAUCCGUAACUGGUCUGAGAGGAUGAUCAGUCACACUGGAACUGAGACACGGUCCAGACUCCUACGGGAGGCAGCAGUGGGGAAUAUUGGACAAUGGGCGAAAGCCUGAUCCAGCCAUGCCGCGUGUGUGAAGAAGGUCUUCGGAUUGUAAAGCACUUUAAGUUGGGAGGAAGGGCAGUAAGUUAAUACCUUGCUGUUUUGACGUUACCAACAGAAUAAGCACCGGCUAACUUCGUG
rnacentral:rRNA from 1 species